AAUAAAUUUUGUAUAAAAACCAGGUAAUUAUUUUAAUUUUUAUUAAAUGACGGUGUUCGUUUCCGAAUCGAUGUUCAUGUCUUUGUUUUCAUCGCAUUGAUCGUUUCGUUGACAGUUCAGCUAAAUUACAGUUGAAGCCAAUUAGAAAAAUUGACAUCCUGGUUGGUAUCUCAGCGAGCAGACCACGACCAACAAUCAAACAGUAAAAACUCGACCCAAUCAUCGAAUCAUAUUAAACCACAUUGCAAAUUUGAAAAACAUGCGUUCCAAUCUACUAGUUCUUGUACUAUUCGCAUGUGUGUUCCAAAGCAUAUACCUACUCGUAGCCGGAGCUCUUAGCGGAAAAUUCGACCUACGAAUGAUUGGAACAGAAGACAAGCCACCUUAUCCAAAAUUGAAGAAAAUUGAAAUGAUUGAUGGCAACACAAUACCAGCCGCCAGACACCACAUCAUUCCCAGAAAUCGUAUUAAGGAAUUUUAUAACAAAGCAGUUGUCGCGGGCAAGAUGAAAAAUUUACGUCUUUUUUUAGCCGAAUACAAGAAGCAGUUUAAAGAUCUUUACAAAAGCACUGGAAAAAACGAAAUGAUCAAAAACGUUGAAGAAUUGGUCGACGGAUUAAUCGCAGGAACCGUGGUUCAGGAUGAUGACAGCAUAAAACCGAAAAAUUACUCAUAUUUUAUAGCCUUCUACAUGUGGUUACCGGGAAAUUUAUUCAUAGGACCUAAUACAGAAUAUCGUGCCGAUGAUCCUAAAGAAGAAUUCGAAUCUAAAUCAAAACGAAUCAUCGGAGAGGACGAUUUCGAACGUAGGCUCGAAAUAAAUGACCAGAUGAAAAAGUACGUAAGCAGUAGUCAAGAUCAAACAGAUUUCACAAAAUUAGACACAGACUUACAACGUAUGUUGACUACGAGAAAGGGUCAUCCAAUAGCGAGCUUAGAAGCUUACCCUUUUGAUAAAAACGAUUGGAUUCGGGCUCCCAAAAAAGGAAAAUACAAAAUAAACGAUAAAGUAGUGUAUUUUUAAUGGUUUCUGAUCAUAAACCACAUCUUGCGUGUAUAACGAAUUUCUUUAUUUUUGAUAUGAUUAUUAUUAUCCGUUAUUUAUAAUUAAUUAUUAGGUAUUAUUAUUACCUACCUAUUGAAUUAAAUACUCGUGAAUGAAUGCA